CUGCGGUCCAAGUACAUCGCACUCAUGUUCCACACCACUCGUUCUCCUGCGGCUCCAAGUGGCUCCGGUGGUCGAGCAGAGUAAACUGGCAGGCCUUCGUCAUCUCACUCUGAUCAAAGGUUUUGUGGGUCUGCAUGGAAGGUUUCACCAAACUCUCCGUGAUGGUCCUCUCCUCAGGAAUGGCAACAUUUGUCCUGGCUGUGGAUACCACAUGCAGAAUUCAAUGUAUGGCGUCAGCGGUGGAGGUUCCUGCAGUUUUCAGCACUCUACCCAAGUCCUCACAUCUGUCGGCAACCACACGCAUUGUCAAACAAAUGCCUUCUUGUCACGUCAGGAGGUAGGACCAAGGUGGGGCCCGAGAUACCGGUGCCCCAAACCAGCACCGAGAAGUCCAUUUUCCGCCACCGAAUCAAAUCAAGGUAAGUGCCCGCCUGGCUUUAUCAUUGUUACUAUGUAUAUCCAUAUAGAUAUAUAUUCACACACAUUGUUUUCAGAACUAUAUUUAAUCAUAUUUAUUGUGAAAUAGCCAAAGCUUGUGGCCCAAAUAUAGCUGGCACUACGUACCGUGUGGGCUACAUUCACGAUUAAUUUGAUCCCAAAUAUAGUUUUUAUUCUCGUUCUCGUCCUUUUCUCAUUCAUUUUCUCCUCAAAGUUUAUUUCUUAAAAAAGUAAAUGUUACAUGACAUCAGAGAUUUUAUUGUUACAAAAAUGAACAUUUAUUACCACAAACGCAUUCACACAAAAGUUGAAAUAAUUGGAACGCAUAAGUCCUGGUUUCGAUUACCAGGUGCAAAUGUGAAAGCACCCAUCAUCCCUCAACGUGAGCGUCUCUCAGUUUAUAAUUCGGUACUUGUGAUGAUUUAAAAAAUGGAAUUUGGUGAGGUCCCUGAAGAAAACACCCUUUGAGGGGAUAAGGUACCAGCAAAUGAGCAGAACCUAGACCUGAAACUAUCAUCCAAGACGGACUGAGGGAGACGAGACAACACAUUCUUUCCCUGACGACAACAAUUGAAAACGAUACACACAGAAGACAUUU